CGGAGCCCUGGCACUGAUGGAGGGAGGCUAUAGGUACAGCUGUCAUAGCCACUGGAGGAGAGUCACCUUGGAAUAGCAACUCUCAACUGUGGCUGCUGGUCAGAGUUGUGCAGAGUGGUCCCCAAUCCAUUGUCCAGACUGCACCUGUGUGGGCUGUCCCAGGGCCUCAGGGCCUCUGGGGACAGGACGCCCCACAGUAACCUGUGGACUAUCACAGUGCACAGCGGGAGCCCAGACUCCUGCUUGGGCCGGCGGGCAGGUUUGUGUGGCUCCCUCUGUAGUACGGGUUAGAGGGGGCAGCCCAGGGACCACCCCAGAGGUGGCCCUCCAUGUCAUGCCAAAGCCAUCUCCUAUUUGGUGAUAUUUUAAGUGUCUCAAAAUAGCACAGAGAGAAGCCAGCUUUGGUAAGGAGCUGGGCGUUGGUGGUCAGGGUCCCAGCACGAUUAGGGCACCCUGAAGGUGUGGGGGCGAGCUUCAGGGGGUGCUGGUGACUCACCAUUACCACUGCGCGUCCGGGCUGAGAUGGCAGCAUGUGGCUCUAAGCUCUGUGGGUUUCAGUGGACGUGGUGCCCAGGCUG
rnacentral:lncRNA from 1 species